rnacentral:misc_RNA from 1 species
UGGUCACACGCAGUACAACACCUCUCUUGCCUUCCUCUCUUCCUCACUCUUACCAUCCACACCACCACCCGUUCACUGACACCCCUACCCACAAGCAUCUAUAUAACAAUCUGUCGCUUCCCCAAACCCCUCCAACUCCCUCCGCCACAGCCACCACCACCACCACAGCGCUGGCUUUUAUCGCACGGUCCACCUCCCCUCCCACACGCGCGCAAGAGCUUUUCUUUGGCGUUUCUGCUUGUGAAGAGGAGGAGGGAGAGGUAUACGCAUACCUACCUACAUAUUAUAUAUAUAUAUAUUCUAUAGAAUAUAUAUAUAUAUAUGUGAGCGAGAGACAGGAAGAGGGGGGACGAAAGACGCGAGCAAACAAAAACAAAGGCACACGCGUGCACCGUGGCACCUGCCGGCACUACCAACUCCUCUUCUUCGUCUUUGACCCACACCCGCCCUCUCUCGCUCUCCCUUCCUCUGUUUCUCGUUGCGUCGUCGUUCUUCUUUUUCUUGGGACCUCGACCCACUCACCCAAGCCCAGCCCGUCUGCCCCUCAUCGCAGCUCCGCGCACUGCCCUCUCUCUACUCAUUCGCGUUUUUUGUUGUUGCCUCGCUUUGUUUUCCUCGGGUGCACCCCACACGUGUCAUUCUAGCAGUGUGGCGUGUGUGCUGCGUCUUCAUUUUGUUGGCCGCACGCAGCAGCAGCAGCGGUAGUAGGGCACCCAUACGUGCAGCUCCCCCAACCAGUGGGCCAUAUCCACGUAGCACACGAACGUGGACUGCACGCACAAGCCACUGGUCGUCGUCGUUGUUUUUUUCUUCCUUUUCUGUCCUCUUUCCGUCAUCUUUCGCUCUUGUCGCUGGGCUCCCUGGCUGGCCAGCGUGUGUGCUCUUCGGUCUCUGAUCGGAUCACAGCUCGUGUGUCACUGUCCCGCCAUCGAUCCGCGGCCCACCCACCCACCCCCCUCCCCUCUCGUCUCCUACUCAGUCUCGCCGCAGCACUUGUGCAGCUCGUUUUAUUCGCGCCGGCCAAGGGACGUCCGCAUUGGCCCGCGCGGCCAUAGAUUUACGUGCACACCGAGACCGCCAUUUGUGUCUCUCCACUAUAGUGCAAGGAGCUACUGGCGUGCGUCUAGCUGUGUAUAGUCGUGUGUGUGUGUGUGCGCGCGCGUGGACGUGAGUGUGUCGGUGUUUGAUUGCGUGAGUGCGUACUUCUGUCCUCCUCCUUGUUUUGAUUGUUUGAGGUGGUGACACAACCACACUCACCAUCGAAGAAAACGCGGGCACACGCUCACAGCCGCAUCAUCACCACGCACUCGCGCUGGCUCUCCUUCUCCUCGCCUCUCUCUUAUUCACGCAAUCUCACAGGCGCCUCAGGCUUUGCUGUUGAUUUCUCGUUAAAUAUUCUUGGCUUGACGCCGUUGCCGCCUUUGCCGUGUGCGCGCGUGGGCAUCAUCGGCCCCCUCCCCCAUCGCUUGCUCGUUUUUUCUCUAGCAUCCGCGUGUCUGCCAUCCUGCCCUCAGCUCGCUGCUGCGGGCGGUUGUGUCGCAUCUGUCCCUCUACAGAUUUUCACCGAUCGUCCGCCACCCUCGCCACCACACCGGGCUGGGAUGCGCCAUGCCCGCGAACGCAGCGCAGCUACGGAUGGUACACAUGCUGGCGACGGCGACCUCGUCCACGCACCGUCAACGAUGAAAGAUGUCGUCAGCGUGAAUGGCAUCUCGCUCGGCUGCGGUGGCAGCGAGGACGAGAUGCUGGCCACCGCUGCCAACGGCAAGUUGGGUCGCUCGCGCCGCCACGUGGAAGUCAUCUUCCACCCGGAGCUACGGCGCACCAAGGAGGUGAUUCGGCGCCCAGAGUGGGUGCGCCGCGCUGGCGAAUGUGUCGCCCAUCGCGGCUCCCUCAGCACCAUCGCCCUCUUCGGCAUCAUGUUCGCCAACUGUGUUGGUGGCGGCUACGGCUUCGAGGAUGGCAUCGGGUCGGCUGGUCCCCUCAUCACGCUUAUUGUGUGUGGUAUCUUGCCGUGGUUGUGGGCCUUCCCUACCGGGUUGGCAGUCGCCGAGCUGUCCACCGCCGUGCCGAGCAACUCGGGUGUGCUGAUGUGGACGAACGCGGCGUUCCCACCCUUCAUGUCAUUUAUGUGCAUUCUUGCAACCAUCUUCAUCACCUUCAUUGGCAAUGCCACGUACCCGAACCUCACGGCCGAGUACGCACAGCAGUUGGGCAACCUCAAACUCGCUCCGGUGGCGGGUGUGAAGGUCGGUGUGGUGGCGCUCUGCUGCAUCCUCAACUGCGUCGGCGUCGAGAUCGUCGGCAGCUCCUCCAUCAUCCUCUGUGCCAUAACCAUUUUGCCCUUCACGCUGCUGACGGUGAUCCAACUCUUCUCCAAGGGCUUCAACAGGGCGGUGCUUUAUGUGGAUGUGAAGAAGGUGAAGUGGGCCGAGUUCUUCUCCAUCCUUAGCUGGAACUACGCCAACAUUGAAAACGCUGGCGCUGUCGUCGAGGAAGUCGCGAACCCGCGCCGAGCUCUUCCAAAGGCCAUGAUGAUGCUGAUGCUGAGCACGUACGUCGGCUACGUCAUGCCGAUGCUCGCUGGCGUGAGCGCCAUGGGUGUUAAUCAGGACUACUCGAAGUGGAAGGCGGGGCACUGGCCUGAGGUGGCGAAGGUGAUCGCCGGUGACUGGCUCAAGUACAUGCUGUUCGCCGGCGCGCUGCUCAGCGGCAUCGGCUUCACCCUGACCAGCAUGUGCUGCACGAGCCGGCUGCUGGCAGGCAUGGGCACCAUGCAGAUGUUCCCAAAGAAGGUGUCGAGGGUGAUCGGUUACUACCACCCGCGCCUUGGCACUCCCAUCCCGGCCAUCCUCAUCAACUCUCUCGUCACUCUCGUCUUCAGCGUGAGCAUGGAAUUCACCAGCGUCGUAUCGCUGUGUCAAUCUAUCUAUUGCCUCCGCAUGCUGCUCAUCUACGCGUCGCUCGUCAAGCUGCGCAUCGACUAUCCAAACCUGCCACGGCCCUACGCACUCCCCUUCAGCACCUGCACGACGGCAUUGGUGCUGCUGCCGGCGGCGGCCUUCUCGCUUAUGGCCUCGAUCGUGUCAGCCAUGACCUCCCUCGGCAUAGGCGUGGCGCUUGUCGGCUUCGUCGUCGUUGGAAGUGGUGUUUCGUGGUUGUACUGCCGCAUAUUUGCCCGCAACGGCUUUCAAGGCGUCAUUGUGCAGUGCGAGGUGUCCUCAGGUGACGACGCGGAGGCCGGCGCGGCCGACGGUGCCGACGGAAGCGCGCUGAGCGAGGGCGUCUUCUACGCGGAUGAAGAGCUCAACAGCGGCGAGCCGGUGGACGACCUUCUUCUCGGUAUUUUGCCGAUGCCUCUGGCCGCGCCAGGGCCGGUUGCAUCGACCACCUUGCCGCGCGGCAGCGAAGUCAAUUCCAGUCAGUGGCACGUGUGGCAUGGGAUGACAGACCGCGACGCCAUCGGCAGACAGGCGGGAGAGGAGAUGAUUGGCAUGGAGUACACCUCUCAGGACGGGCCCAACACGGAUAUAAUGUUUGUGAACAACAACGCGACAGAGCAUGCGCUGGGGAGCAGCACCGCUGGCUGCUCGCCAACAAGCAGCUUCCCCACCUACAGGGUCGCCUGCGGCGCUGAGACGACCAUGCGUCACCGCCACCGCGCCCGCAGCCACGGCGCCGGUGGCGGCGGAGGCGGUGCGACCAACAGCGGCAACUACGGCCCGGCCGUGAGCGGCGAGGAGAGCGGCGAGGAUACCGAUAUCACCCCCGCGGAGCAUAGCGGUGGCGGCUUCACAUUGUCAGCUACAGGUCGGCCUGUACAGGUGCUGUCGACAUCGCCGCCGCAACUGAUAUUGAGUCCACAGCAGGUUCUCCUCAAUGUGCCGGCCGCUGGCAGUUGGAGCAGCAGCCGAUCUCCAACGCCAGUCAGCGGUCGUCACAGCCCGAUCUUGACAAGCGCCAUAAAUAUGAACACGACCAGGAAGCCGCCCCCUCCCCCGACCUCUCUGUAAUUCAGCAGCUCCCCACGCCGGUGCAGGCGCGUCUGCUUGCUAUGCACCACUGCUGUCUGAGCACAUAGAUGCGCAUGCAUGAGGGUGGUUGGUUGAGUGCCCUUUGAAUGAGUUUGUGUGUGUGUGUGUAUGUGACGUUAUGGCGAGCGAGUGCGCGCCUCUUCUGGGCCGUUGACUCUCCUCUCGCUCCCCGCCACCCCUCACGUUCGUUUGCCGGUCUCGAGAGAGCACCUCGCGAGAGACACAGGCAAAUGGAGGCGACUACGUAAGUGCGAGUGCGUGUCCAUCUCCUCCAAGCUCCGCUCUUGUCAGUUUUCUUCUUGCUUCGCUCUUGUAUAUGUUGCUGGUUUCGGUGCUUCGUUUUCUGGUGUGUCUCCUGUUCGCCCACUCGGCAGGCUCCUCUGAAAGAGGCACCUUGUGUGUGUGCGUGUGUGUGUGUGUGUGUUUCGGCUUUUGUGUACGCGACCGCAUCCCUACUCCUCUCUCGCGCGUUCUCUACCUCUCCCGUGCGCUGCGCGACCUUCACGUGGCCCGCGUCAGCCCUUGUUGGUUUGUUUUUCCUUGCUAUACGUAUAUCCCUCUGCGGAUAAGGAGGAUGCACCCACUCCUCCAUUGUACAUAUAUAUAUAUAUAUAUAUCCGCAUGCACACACAUAUAUAUAUAUAUGCUUAAGUAUAUCUAUAUGUAUGUAUAUGCAUAAAGCACCGCAGGCUUGUCCACGACAGCCUCCAUAACGUUAAUGAACAGCAG